rnacentral:rRNA from 1 species
CCCUUAGAUGUCCGGGGCCGCACGCGCGCUACACUGAAGGAAUCAGCGUGGCUUUCUCCCUGACCCGAAAGGGUUGGGAAACCCGUUGAAUCUCCUUCGUGAUAGGGAUUGGGGCUUGAAAUUGUUCCCCAUGAACGAGGAAUUCCCAGUAAGCGCGAGUCAUAAGCUCGCGUUGAUUACGUCCCUGCCCUUUGUGCACACCGCCCGUCGCUACUACCGAUUGAACGGUUUAGUGAGGGCCUCGGAUUGGUCUCGGCCCGCUCUUUACCGGGCGGCGCCGUUGGUCGAGAAGACGCUCGAACUUGAUCGUUUAGAGGAAGUAAAAGUCGUAACA